ACGCCCCCGUCCCGAGAUCGCGGGUCGGGGGUCGCGCCAACCGCCGCACACUCGUAGGAAACUCUCCCCACGAGCAUGCAAGGCAUCUAAACCAAACACCUCAAUUAUGAAAUUUCAAAAUAAUUUAACAGAAUAAAUUGAAAUCUUAUUCCAUUGACUAACUCAAGUCAUAAUGUCUCACAAGUCUAAAUAUGCAGCGGAAUAAUCAUUUCCCAACAUGCGAAAACCUAGUGUUUAAAAUAAUAAAAGUCCACCAAUCAUAAUAAAUGUCCAUAAUAACAAAUCAACUUAAAUAAUCCUAAUCUAAGAUAACUUGUGCCACAAUCCUUCUAGUCGCUCUCCCAAUUUGAAUCCCCAAUAGACUAGUUCUCGAAAUCUGUAAAACAACAAGAGAGGGUAUAAUGAGCUAGACAGCCCAGUAAGUAAUGAACACCCUAGCUAGAUAAAUUAAGCAAUAAUAUGUGGAAAAUAAAUAGAUAUGCAGUUCUAAAGUAUAAGUCAAAUAUUUCUUAAAUUCAUAAGAUUCUUUUCGCGGCUUCAAGAUUCUUUCACAUAUUCAAUUCAU
rnacentral:lncRNA from 1 species